UAGGGAAUCUUCCGCAAUGGGCGAAAGCCUGACGGAGCAACGCCGCGUGAGUGAUGAAGGUCUUCGGAUCGUAAAACUCUGUUAUUAGGGAAGAACAAAUGUGUAAGUAACUAUGCACGUCUUGACGGUACCUAAUCAGAAAGCCACGGCUAACUACGUGCCAGCAGCCGCGGUAAUACGUAGGUGGCAAGCGUUAUCCGGAAUUAUUGGGCGUAAAGCGCGCGUAGGCGGUUUUUUAAGUCUGAUGUGAAAGCCCACGGCUCAACCGUGGAGGGUCAUUGGAAACUGGAAAACUUGAGUGCAGAAGAGGAAAGUGGAAUUCCAUGUGUAGCGGUGAAAUGCGCAGAGAUAUGGAGGAACACCAGUGGCGAAGGUGACUUUCUGGUCUGUAACUGACGCUGAUGUGCGAAAGCGUGGGGAUCAAACAGG
rnacentral:rRNA from 1 species